rnacentral:rRNA from 1 species
GAACCUCUGGUGUACCGGUUGUGACGCCAGUCGCAUCGCCGGGUAGCUAUGUUCGGAAGAGAUAACCGCUGAAAGCAUCUAAGCGGGAAACUCGCCUUAAGAUGAGAUAUCCCUGGAGGCUUGACCUCCUUGAAGGGUCGUUCGAGACCAGGACGUUGAUAGGUCGGGUGUGUAAGCGCAGUAAUGCGUUCAGCUAACCGAUACUAAUUGCCCGUAAGGCUUGAUCCUAUAACA